UAUAAUUUAAAAGAUAUAAAACAAAAAAAUUGGGGAGGACAAUAAAAAGCAGGGAAAAAAAUCAAACAAUCUAAUCAAUAAAAAUACACAUAAGGCUGAGUUUCCUUAACACAAUAAAUUCUCUUACAGAAAAGUAUUCCAGAAACCAAGGUAAUAAUGCAGAAGCUUCUCAGCGAAAGCUUUACUGUGACUGGAAGAAGGAUGUGGUCCAGGAGAAUAAACUAUGACAUUUGCCAUGAAGAUCUAUAACAAAAGUCUGAUUUAUUAACAUCAGCAGACUAGAACUUAGGCCACUGUGAGCCAUCAACGACAUGAGGACAAGAACAAAAUAGCACAG